GAUACACAAAAAAAGGAUUGAACUAAGAAAGGUCCGCAAUUACGACUUGUUUUUUUUUGCUGCGUUUCUCGCUGUUUUCGUGAAUUGCCGUGUGCGUGUGAUCUUUUCGGAGGAGAUUCGGAAAAAACGAUGCGAGGUGUCGUGAACGUCGCUGUACCCUGUUCGGUCAAAUCGGUCCUUUGAUCUGAGUCGACGACGACGACCAAGGCGACGACACACAAGUAUGGUGGAUGUAUUUUCCUCCUGCUGCAUUUACGAAAAUUUUCAACAACAAAGAAUUACAAAGCAAACUUUUAACACGUGGGUGAAGAUGGGAAAUCGUUCGGGACGCAAUUUACAGGCUUUCGAGGCGUCAGUCAAUGCGGAAGGUAGCUCAGCUGACGAAAGUGGCAACAAUGCCAUCGCAUUCCCUGGCUCAAAUCUACAGACGUACGACAUGUCCGUCAGUCCCGACAGCAGUUCGGCAGACGACAGUGGCGGAAUAGGACGUGGUGUUUUCACCUCGCUGCCUUCACACAUUUGGUCAUUAAACGGUAUUAAAUGCCCAGUUUGUAGCAAAUUUAUAUUACCAGACGAUAUUGAAUGUCAUCUAGUUAUGUGCCUAACGAAGCCUCGCUUGUCAUACAACGAGGACGUAUUGAGCGAUGCCAAAGGAGAGUGCGUUAUUUGUUUAGAGGACUUGUCACCGGGCGACGUAAUUGCACGUCUCCCCUGUCUUUGUAUCUAUCACAAAGGAUGCAUCGAUCAAUGGUUCGAAGUGAACAGAUGUUGUCCGGAACAUCCAGGCGAUUAGUCCUCGUCACACGCGAAUUAUUUUGAAUCAAAUGUGCUGUCAACUGUGUUAAAUGCUAAUCAAUUACUAAAAAGAAAACAAGACAAAAAAAUUACUGAAAAAAGGACUGAGUUCGAGUGAUGAGUGAGAGAAUUAAUUUUACAUCACAUCACACACCAGAAGAAGAUGAAAACAAGACCAGUGCUAUAAAAACACUUUAAUUUUAAUACAAAAUAAAUGAUAAUGAUAAAAAUAAACAAAACCAACGAUCUGGUGCACUAUAGUGACGCGACACGAUCAAUUCUGUAAAAAAAAAAUAAAUCCAAAAAAAUUAUCCAACAGUCAACAAAAGUAACAACAACACGAAAGAAUGUUGGAACAAAAAUUUGUCAGACGUCAACUAAACCACUAAAUAUGUAAAUAUAUCAAUAGUAGACUAAAAUAUACACAUAUUAUUAUUUAGAAAAGUAAACAAAACAAGCAACAUUGAAAAACUAAGCUAACAGAAAAAAAGUUUGAACUUUUUCUUUGCUACCCACAACUAUCUAAUAAACUCUUUGAAUUAUUUAUUUUCUAAAUUGAUUAUUACCUUUUUAUAGAUUUUUAACCUUUUUCUACUAUUUAUCAUUUUUUUAUUAUUUUAUUUCUUUUUUUUAUUAAUAAAAUGACGUUUCUCAAUGAAUGUUGUUA